GCACAGGUACUGAGCGUCCACUGCAGAUAUAUAGAAGGUUUCCUUUCUAAGUGACCCUUCAGUACCUUGGUUUCCGAAUUUUUGUACAAGAUAUCUCACCACAAGAGACCCCUGAUGAAGUCUUUUGUAUAAUACGAAACGCGUUGGGUUGUCUGUGUUGUGAAGCUAUCUCCGAACCAACGAUAAGGAGAAGGAGGAGAUUAUUGUGAUCCUUCAACAUUUGUAUUCAGCGCUAAGAGUCAUAGAUCUUAAAGUGUGGAAUAAUAUAUCUCCUCUGUAUUAAUUUGAAUAUGUUUUUAAUAAAUGUUUUAUGAUGGAA